GCCUUCUCUUUCACUUCUUUACUUACAAUUCUUUAAUGCCUUAUUCUUUUCAGAAAGAUGCCAGAAGUCAUUUAGAUAUUUUUUAAAGUUAAUUUUGACCAGUCAGCAGUGCUUAGGACAUGAUUCACUAAGAUAGCUGCAGCUAAACUAUCAUCUGAUUCAAGCAAGAGCUUGAAGCUCUGGGUCCACAGGUGCUCACUGUCUGAUAUCAACAGAAAGGAAACACAGGUAGAGCUGCUGCUCAUCAAAUGGUUGUGGGAGACUGACGUUGAAGUCAGGUAUUUCCUUACUGUUUAAGCUCAUGAGCAAGUUUCAGUUGAGUUACUGGGACUUCUAAGCUCAGAUAGUCUGGAUAGCAGUCCAGGUGCCACACAGAUGGAAAUGACAUGGUAAAGAGCCCUAAAUGCAACUCUUAUGCCCAGGCUUUGUAGAUGACUGGAUCUGAAUCUGACUUACACAGAACUGUACAUAUAAAGCCUAUUAAAUAUGAAGACCUACAACUGGAUCCAGGAAAUCAGUUGCAUGCUGAAAACCCUUAUGUCAAUGGGGUUUAACUGUCAGCUUUGAUCAUGAAAUGGAGGUCGACAUUUUCUUAAAGUCUUAUUUAACUGCACUUUCAGAAAUCUCACUGUUUGAGUUUUGGAACUGAGCGGGGUCCUAUUUUACUUUUCAACUGGAGUGGAAUUAUUUCAGGAGGCCAUCUAUUCUGGUUUUUGGCUUAGCUCAAGAGGCCACAGCCUCAUCUCAGUGGCACUUCUCUGUAUGUCUGUAAAACAGCAACUUCCAAAUAUCAAACUUGAUUGCUUUCAAAAUUUUAAGGGAAAUUUUCAGGCUUCAAUAGCCAGAACCUUGUUGAUUUUACAGAAAAGCAGUAAUAGAAAAUGGGAGACACAUGGAGCUUCUGCUCUCUCUGAAGUACAGACACAAUUUCGGUCUCAUUAAAUCAAAGACUUGGUUAAUGGCCCCAGUGCAGAAAUGCUGCUGCUUGUAGUAGUUUAAAAUGUUAUUAUUCUGAAUAACUGCCUCUUAGGAAAGUGUCAAUGGUGAGAGAUGGAGGAGAAAAUGGGGGAUGUCGCGAAGUGCGCAGCUAGAUAGUCUGGUGAGAGUUAGAAUGUCCUCCCUAAAAAUGAGGACCAACAGCUCAAAUGCCAGCAGUGAAAGAAAGAGUGGAUAGGAAUGUGCAGACCCAAGAGAAGAGGUUGGUGUUAUAAGAUAAAAAUGGGCAGGGCAAAAGGUAGCUUCUAGCCCUUUUGAACCAGAGUAAUUUGGAUGUUCAGCUUCCAGGAAGGAAGUAAUGCUGGGACAAGUUCAAAGCCAGUAAGGAGGCUGUAAUGUGUGUAGCAUGUCAGAGGUCUGCAGCUAGAGGAGGUUCUGUAAGGUACACUUGAAGAAUCCUGCUGUGCCAAUGGUAGGGUGGACUCGCUGCUUUGGAAUGGGACAACGCAAGAGAAUAGGGAGAAAUUCCUUAUCUUCACUGAAGCAGUAGAAGUGACAGUGAUGUGAAAGACAGAGAACGGCUGGGAGUGAAGGAGGAUUUGUAGCAAAACUGAUUUGGACUGUGAAGGAGGGUCUCUGAGGGAAAGCAAUAAACUUACAUGGCAUGCUUUAAGCUCAUCUUACAGAAGCUACAGAGUUUGUGACCCUCACGUUAACUUCAUUUCACAAUGUUCCCUGCAUGCUUUGUGUGACUUCCAAGUAACACAUGACAUCAGCAAUCUUAAUAAAAACCACCUGCUUGGUACAUUUGAUAUUAAACCCUGCUAAAAUCUCCAGUGCUAUCAGGAACAGAGUAUAAUUAGUUUUCUCUAAAUUUGCUGAGUGUUGUUAAAUGUUAAAUCCUUAAGGAGAAGAAUGUGAACUUAUAUGUUUUACAUCUACAUAUUUGAAAAUCAUCGUUUAGCUGUACAGUCUUUUACACUGAUAAAUAUAUCUGUU
rnacentral:lncRNA from 7 species